AUCCUUCAGUGAGGAGCAGAGAUCUUGGGAAAGGGCAAGAAGUAAAGAUAGAAGUCUGUGCUGUGAGGAAAUCUGCUGCAGUCUGCUGAGGAUCUGUUGUAGCUG
rnacentral:lncRNA from 1 species